UUUGGACUCCUGUUCUCAAUAGGCUCGACAUUAACAAUCUUCUUCAAAUCCGCAUGCUAGGUUGUGCUUUGUGUCCAAGUGUAUAUCUUGUGUGUUCUCGUGAUGUGACUUUCACAGCCAUCUGUUUCCUAUUGUGAUGUGACAUGGCAGUUUUGGACCUGGUUAUCGGAUACAUAGUGUUUGUUGGGUUGCUCCUCUGUGCAUGGAUACCUUGUUACUCUCCUUUUCAUGGGAGUGGAAAGACAAAAAAGCAUAAAUUGUUGGGAAAGGGAGUGUUGUUUGCUGAGUUGUGAGUGUUUUAGUUGGAGAUAAAUGCUAGGGUUUUUAAGUAUCAUCCUUCUCGUUCUUUGCUCCUUUGGGAAAAGAUUACUUUUUAGCUUCUCUUUCAGCUAAGGCACAGGGGUUUUUCAAGCAUUUGUCCUUAUGUAUUCUAUAUAGGGACUGGUUGCCUUCUUUGUUGAGUUUGUUAUGUUUUUUAAACCUUCAAAUUUUUUUCACUUCUCUUCUAGGAUGUACUCAGUUUCCUUCUCUCUUUAAUAUAUUUCUUUUUCCAGCUGAAAAAAUGUGCCAAAUAAGGGAUCCUAAAGUACAAUUAAACCCAUCCUAGUGGAAUUAGUUCAGGAGACACUGUCAUGAACCAGCAACCAAAUGCAAUUGGCGGAUUGGUGUAUAAGGGAAGAAACUAUAGCUGAUUCAGAAUCACUAAUUGAAAUUAGAAUUUUUCUGUUUUUCUUCUUGUUGUGUAUUCCAAUGGUUAUCCUAGAGUUUGGUUACUUUGUCAGUCUCUCAAUGUAUAUAUAUAGAAAGUUGGUUACUUCCAGAGAAGCUUUAUCUUUCUUUUGAAACCAUCAGGAUAAUUCCUUGUGUAACUAUCGAAGAGAUCAAUGGGCUCCUUCUUUGAGUUGGAAAACUGGAAUUUCAUUGAAUAGCACCGUGUGUGCUGCCCAAUUACGAAAGAUAUGCACAGAAGUGUAGAUUCUAGAAUUGCUUCAGGAUGUCUAUUUAAGUCACCUAACUUUUCUGAAAAAUUGAUAAAAACUGUAAGUUCUUGUAAUCUAGUUCAUUAAGUUUAAUGAGAGAGAAUGCACUAAGUUUAAAUGGUAGGUAAUAUUUUUCUUGGAACUUUUCUUUUUAUACAUAUAUGAUAUUCUGAUAUUUGUGAGGAGGCAGGCAUUGGAGCAGCUCGCACUAUUUUGUGCAUAUUCCCAAACUCAUUAACACUUCCUUGCUUUUCUAUGGGAAGAAAAUUUUAAUGCAUAAUAAUUGGUGCCUCAACAUUUCUAUUGUUUGAAUGUCUUCAAUUAUGCCCAAUGCUUGUUGCCUUGUUGGUAUUUUGGCUAAUUGUAUUCUCCAUUUGCCAAAUUGUUCCAACAUCAUUUUGCCUUUGUUUACUACAAUAUGAUGCCAAAUAGAAACUUGUAUUUGAGAAAGUAAGUAUUUUUCUUAGCGAAUUUCCCAUCCUAAUUCAAGCAUGAUGUUUAGUUGCUGUCUGGAUAUUACAUUAGAGUUUUUUCUAUUUAACAUUUAUGGUCAAAUUCUUAAAACAUACUGACUCAGAUUUUUAUAUUGUUGAAGAGUUCACUACACAUCAUUUUCUUUAAAAUUGAGUAUUGAUAGUAUCACGAUUUAGUUCCCACUAUCUAUUGUUUUAUUGUUCUGCACAAAAACUUGGCAGCCAAAUAAUUUUU
rnacentral:lncRNA from 1 species